rnacentral:rRNA from 1 species
AGAGCGAACGCUGGCGGCAGGCUUAACACAUGCAAGUCGAGCGGAUGUAGCAAUACAUCAGCGGCAGACGGGUGAGUAACGCGUGGGAACAUACCUUUUGGUUCGGAACAACCCAGGGAAACUUGGGCUAAUACCGGAUAAGCCCUUACGGGGAAAGAUUUAUCGCCGAAAGAUUGGCCCGCGUCUGAUUAGCUAGUUGGUGAGGUAACGGCUCACCAAGGCGACGAUCAGUAGCUGGUCUGAGAGGAUGAUCAGCCACAUUGGGACUGAGACACGGCCCAAACUCCUACGGGAGGCAGCAGUGGGGAAUAUUGGACAAUGGGCGCAAGCCUGAUCCAGCCAUGCCGCGUGAGUGAUGAAGGCCCUAGGGUUGUAAAGCUCUUUUGUGCGGGAAGAUAAUGACGGUACCGCAAGAAUAAGCCCCGGCUAACUUCGCGCCAGCAGCCGC